rnacentral:rRNA from 1 species
ACGAGAGGCCCAAACGUUAUUCGGAUUUACUGGGCUUAAAGAGUUCGUAGGCGGCGCUGAAAGUAGGGUGUGAAAGCCCUCGGCUCAACCGAGGAAUUGCGCCCUAAACUACUGUGCUAGAGGAAGCUAGAGGUGAGCAGAACAGAUGGUGGAGCGGUGAAAUGCGUUGAUAUCAUCUGGAAUACCGGAGGCGAAGGCGGCUCACUGGGGCUUUUCUGACGCUGAGGAACGAAAGCCAGGGUAGCGAACGGGA